UACGUAGGGUGCGAGCGUUGUCCGGAAUAUUGGGCGUAAAGAGCUCGUAGGCGGUCUGUCGCGUCGGUCGUGAAAACUUGGGGCUUAACCCCAAGCUUGCGGGCGUACGGGCAGACUUGAGUACUGCAGGGGGAGACUGGAAUUCCUGGUGUAGCGGUGAAAUGCGCAGAUAUCAGGAGGAACACCGGUGGCGAAGGCGGGUCUCCGGGCAGUAACUACG
rnacentral:rRNA from 1 species